rnacentral:rRNA from 1 species
AACACAUGCAAGUCGAGCGGAAAGGCUCCUUCGGGGGUACUCGAGCGGCGAACGGGUGAGUAACACGUGAGUAAUCUGCCCUUCACUUUGGGAUAACUGCCUGAAAGGGUGGCUAAUACCGGGUAUUCUCCUUGCACCGCAUGGUGUGGGGUGGGAAAGUUUUUUCGGUGGGGGAUGUGCUCGCGGCCUAUCAGCUUGUUGGUGGGGUAAUGGCCUACCAAGGCUUUGACGGGUAGCCGGCCUGAGAGGGUGACCGGCCACACUGGGACUGAGACACGGCCCAGACUCCUACGGGAGGCAGCAGUGGGGAAUAUUGCACAAUGGGCGAAAGCCUGAUGCAGCGACGCCGCGUGAGGGAUGACGGCCUUCGGGUUGUAAACCUCUUUCAGUAGGGAAGAAGCGAAAGUGACGGUACC